rnacentral:misc_RNA from 1 species
GAUGAAGAACGCAGCGAAAUGCGAUACUUGGUGUGAAUUGCAGAAUCCCGUGAACCAUCGAGUCUUUGAACGCAAGUUGCGCCCGAAGCCAUUAGGCCGAGGGCACGCCUGCCUGGGCGUCACACGUCGUUGCCCCCCCAUCUACUCCUUCGGGAUUGCGGGGGGCGGAUGAUGGCCUCCCGUGCGCCUCGCCGCGCGGUUGGCAUAAAUGCCAAGUCCUCGGCGACGCACGCCACGACAAUCGGUGGUUGCGAAACCUCGGUUGCCCGUCGUGUGCGGUCGUCGCGCAUCGAGGGCUCGAAAAAAUUGCCGGGUUCCGGCUCGGCUUUCAACGCGACCCCAGGUCAGGCGGGAUUACCCGCUGAAUUUAAGCAUAUCAAUAAGCGGAGGA